GACGAACGCUGGCGGCGUGCUUAACACAUGCAAGUCGAACGAAGAGCGAUGGAAGCUUGCUUCUAUCAAUCUUAGUGGCGAACGGGUGAGUAACGCGUAAUCAACCUGCCCUUCAGAGGGGGACAACAGUUGGAAACGACUGCUAAUACCGCAUACGAUCUAAUCUCGGCAUCGAGGAUAGAUGAAAGGUGGCCUCUACAUGUAAGCUAUCACUGAAGGAGGGGAUUGCGUCUGAUUAGCUAGUUGGAGGGGUAACGGCCCACCAAGGCGAUGAUCAGUAGCCGGUCUGAGAGGAGGAACGGCCACAUUGGGACUGAGACACGGCCCAGACCCCUACGGGAGGCAGCAGUGGGGAAUCUUCCGCAAUGGACGAAAGUCUGACGGAGCAACGCCGCGUGAGUGAUGACGGCCUUCGGGUUGGAAAGCUCUGUUAAUCGGGACGAAAGGCCUUCUUGCGAAUAGUGAGAAGGAUUGACGGUACCGGAAUAGAAAGCCACGGCUAACUACGUG
rnacentral:rRNA from 1 species